rnacentral:tRNA from 1 species
GGGAGUAGAUGGUGGCUGGUGUUGCCUGUAGUCUUCAAAACUAUUAUAAGGGGUUAGUAGCUUCUUGGGUGGGUUCGAUUCCCACAUACUCCCGCCA